rnacentral:rRNA from 1 species
UUUAACUGAGCGUUCAGUUACUUGACGUAGACCCGAAACCGGGCGACCUACCCAUGAGCAGGAUGAAGCGAAAGUAAAAUUUCGUGGAGGUCCGAACCCACGAGCGUUGAAAAGCUCGGGGAUGACUUGUGGGUAGCGGUGAAAUUCCAAUCGAGCCCGGAGAUAGCUGGUUCUCCCCGAAAUAGCUUUAGGGCUAGCCUCAAGGUGAGAGAUACGGAGGUAGAGCACUGAAUGUCCUAGGGGGUAUUGCACCUACCGAAGACUAUCAAACUCCGAAUGCCGUCAUCUUAUACUUGGGAGUCAGACUGUGGGUGAUAAGAUUCAUAGUCGAAAGGGCAACAGCCCAGAUCGUCAGCUAAGGUCCCUAAAUGUAAGUUAAGUGGUAAAGGAUGUGGGAUUGCACAGACAACCAGGAUGUUGGCUUAGAAGCAGCCACUCAUUCAAAGAGUGCGUAAUAGCUCACUGGUCGAGUGAUCCUGCGCCGAAGAUUUCCGGGGCUAAAACUUACUACCGAAGCUACGGCAUCAUUAUGAUGGGUAGGGGAGCUUCCCAUACGGGUUGAAGCAUGACCGUAAGGACAUGUGGACAGUAUGGGAGUGAGAAUGUUGGCAUGAGUAGCGAGAUGUGGGUGAGAAUCCCACAGGCCGUAAACCCAAGGUUUCCAGGGGAAGGUUCGUCCGCCCUGGGUUAGUCGGGACCUAAGCUGAGGCCGAAAGGCGUAGGUGAUGGACAACAGGUUGAUAUUCCUGUACUACCGAUAACCGUUUGAGAGAAGGGAUGACACAGUAGGAUAAGCUAAGCACACUGUUGGUUAUGUGUGCCCAAGCAUUGAGGCAGUCAAAGUAGGCAAAUCCGCUUUGAUAAUGCUGGGAUGUGAUGGGGAGCGAAAUUUAGUAGCGAAGUAGCUGAUUUCACACUGUCAAGAAAAGUCUCUAUCGAGGUUAAAGGUACCCGUACCGCAAACCGACACAGGUGGGUGAGGAGAGUAUCCUAAGGCCAGCGAGAGAACUGUUGUUAAGGAACUCGGCAAAAUGACCCCGUAACUUAGGGAUAAGGGGUGCCACCAUCAGGUGGCCGCAGAGAAUAGGCCCAAGCGACUGUUUACCAAAAACAUAGGUUUCUGCUAAGUCGCAAGACGAUGU